rnacentral:pre_miRNA from 1 species
AGCCCUGCUCUGGGGAGGUGCCAUUCUGAGGGCCAGGAGUUUGGUUAUGUGUCACUCUGGCUGCUAUGGCCCCCUCCCAGGGUCUGGGC